rfam:Schistosoma haematobium scaffold214_5, whole genome shotgun sequence.
AUUUGUCUGACGAGUCUCAAAUGGGACGAAACUCAUGUCUUGGAU